rnacentral:rRNA from 1 species
UACAGAGGGUGCGAGCGUUAAUCGGAAUUACUGGGCGUAAAGCGCGCGUAGGCGGCUUUGCAGGUCGGGUGUGAAAUCCCCAGGCUUAACCUGGGAACUGCACUCGAGACUGCAUUGCUAGAGUAUGGGAGAGGGAAGUGGAAUUUCCGGUGUAGCGGUGAAAUGCGUAGAUAUCGGAAGGAACAUCAGUGGCGAAAGCGACUUCCUGGACCAAUACUGACGCUCAUGUGCGAAAGCGUGGGGAGCAAACAGG